GAUGAACGCUGGCGGCGUGCUUAACACAUGCAAGUCGAACGGAAAGGCCGAAGCUUGCUUCGGUACUCGAGUGGCGAACGGGUGAGUAACACGUGGGUGAUCUGCCCUGUACUUCGGGAUAAGCUUGGGAAACUGGGUCUAAUACCGGAUAUGACGAUCUCUUGGAUGGGGUUGUGGAAAGCUUUUGCGGUAUGGGAUGAGCUCGCGGCCUAUCAGCUUGUUGGUGGGGUAAUGGCCUACCAAGGCGUCGACGGGUAGCCGGCCUGAGAGGGUGUACAGCCACAUUGGGACUGAGAUACGGCGCAGACUCCUACGGGAGGCAGCAGUGGGGAAUAUUGCACAAUGGGCGCAGGCCUGAUGCAGCGACGCCGCGUGGGGGAUGACGGCCUUCGGGUUGUAAACUCCUUUCGCAAUCGACGAAGCCUUUUGGUGACGGUAGGUGGAGAAGAAGCACCGGCUAACUACGUG
rnacentral:rRNA from 1 species